CUAUAGUUACCCAAGGUACAUUUCCCAUUUGCAAAUAUUGACUUAAGCAAGAGUAACCAGACGGCAUUAAAAACCAAAGAGUUUAUUAGGCUAUGUACAUUCAAAUAACAAUGACAUGAAAAAAUAAAGGCAGAUACAAUAAUGGCAGAAAUAACAUGGUGACAAAUAAACAAGUCACUUUUUGAAAAGACAAAAACGCACCUCAAUAUAUUGGUAUAGACAUGGUGACCAUGUAAAACAAUUAAAAAAACAACCCACAUGCAGUUGAAACCCUUAGAAGAUCCCCGUAGACAAACAUCUACCGGGACGAAGACAGGGUGGAAGAGAGUCAGGUCAGGUGGCCGGGAGUACUGAUAAAGGUCACCAUCUCAAAGGGACUGCCCCCCCAAGAGGUCAAUAGCUCUACGAGAUACCCUAAGUACCUUCACAACCCCAUUCUCUCUUCCUGCCCUGACACCCCUCCACCUCUCUCUGAUUCAGCACUAGGAUUUAAGUUCAUGCAAAGCUCCUCUCCUCCUCACACACACACACACACACACAUGCAUGCAUUGCGAUUACUCGUGAUAAUAGUCCUAAAUAAAAAAAAAGGAAAUGUAUGCAGGAAAUCCGAAAUAAAACGGUUUAAAGUCUUCGACUUCUUAAAUGCUCCCUGGAGCACUAGCCGCGAGCGAAGUUCUGCGGUUUCAGAAAGAGUCUAGAGCCGUCUGGACGUUAGGUGUGGAUGUUGGGGUUCAAUGAUUGAUGUCCUGGUCCCUAGUCCUACAGGGUCCUUCUCGGGGACCCGGGCAGUCUACAGACCUCUAGGGGAGGCAAGGGGCAGACGCAGUACGAGAUCUACUGAUGAAGAAAGAGUCCAGUUCAUCACACGAUGCAUUUGGAGGAUUGGAGGUCUAAGCCUCAGCUGAGGUGAAAUGUAGAGACCCGCAGAGAGGCGAUAAAACAAGGAAAUAAAAAAAACCUUACAGAAACAAGCUAAUGUGCUUCUUUCCCUGGUAGUCUUUGGAAGCCCAAAGACCAUCGUCACGGUAAUGAGGAUACAUGAGGAAACGGGGUGUAGUGUGGUCCACUGGGCCAGCACACACACACACACACACACUCUCGAACACACACACACACACACUCACACACACACACUCACACUCACGAGCACACACGCGCACACACUCUAGCACACACACACAAACAGAGACAUGCGCACGCGUACACUUGUGCGUAACAUGGCGCUAAACCAGCGUUCAUCAGCACGCCAGGCUCUCAUUGGCUGAUCCCUCCCUAGGUGGGCGGGUUCUAGUCUGUGUGUUACUUAGUGCAACCUGUCCCGUCUCUCCUGAGCCAAUCGGCUGGCUCCGGUUGGAAAGAGGAAACAGGGAGCGUCGGGUUUCCCUGGGACGAUCGACAGGUCAGAUCGUAGUGUUGUAGUGCAGAUCAGUCUUUAGCUUCCGGUCUUGAAUGGUGCGGACGUUGGGGUGUUGGGGCGUGUGGAGGGGGUCGUUUCAGGACCGUAGUGUGUCUGUGGCUCCUCCUUGAUGGCCCCCGCCCUUGGGGAGGGGGGUUAGACUGCAGUCCAGCUGACGGAGUUGUAGUGUACUGUUGACGGCGGGGUUGUGUAGUUCAGUUCUUAUCCCUCCUCCCUCCUCCUCCUCCCGGCCCGUAGUGCACGACUUCCGUUCCGUCUUUCGUCGAUCGUUUUUUUCUCCGUUCCGUUUAUUUUUUCGUUCCGGGACACAAAAACAACGAGAUAAAAAAACACUGAAACAAAAGCAGACUUGGAGUAUCGUCGAUCAAGG
ensembl:lncRNA